rnacentral:misc_RNA from 1 species
AACGCACAUUGCGCCCCCUGGCAUUCCGGGGGGCAUGCCUGUCCGAGCGUCAUUUCUGCCCUCAAGCACGGCUUGUGUGUUGGGUGUGGUCCCCCCGGGGACCUGCCCGAAAGGCAGCGGCGACGUCCGUCUGGUCCUCGAGCGUAUGGGGCUCUGUCACUCGCUCGGGAGGGACCUGCGGGGGUUGGUCACCACCACAUUUUCUAUUAUGGUUGACCUCGGAUCAGGUAGGAGUUACCCGCUGAACUUAA